UAGCUUUUUAGCAUUGGAGUCAGAGACCCUUCCUCUAAAUGUUCUGGGUCAGUAGGCUACACAGUCAUGUGGAAGAAGGCUGAUUUGACAGAUCUCCAGAAGACAGUCAUUGACACCCUCCACAAGUCGAGAAAGCUACAAAAGUACUACUAAAGUAGCUGAUUGCUGUGUCCAAGCAUAUUAAUAGAAAGCCUGCACCUGCCUCACUGGGGACUCAUCAUCAGAAAUGUGGCAAAAUUGCUUCCCAGCUGCCUGCCUGUCUGCCUACUCCUGGGUGUACCAGUCUGUGAAAUCACUGCUAAGCACCGCUGAGCCUGCCAGCAAGCAUGUAUUAUUGAUUUAUAUUGAAAACUGUUAACAAGAAAAAGUGUGGGCCUGCACUGCUCCUGCCGCAUAUCACGGUAACAGAAAGUGCCAGGUCUGCCGUUACUUUCCACUGCAGGUUGUUUAUAAAAAAGUGACUUCUGUUUCUAGUUCUUUGUCUUUUGCUGCAAAAAUAAUUUACAUAUUUCAACAACAAUUUGUAAAAGAUUUAUAACACACUAUUGGACACUAAAGUUUUAGAUAAGUUUAAAGAUGUUUAAACUUUUUUCAAUUACUUCCACUUCUCUAUAGUCAAAAGUUGAGCGUAUAAUCAAUGACACAUUAUGUCAACUUUUAUAAAGGGUAAAGUGUAGCACAGUGCUGUCACUCUUAUCCCAUCAUAACCCUAUCUGGGAAAGGCCGAGACAAGAAAACUGUUUAAAAAUAUGAUGUAAUAGCAAGGUACCGGUUAUUUUUGUUUGUGUUGAACUAAAUCUUUAUUAAUUUGUUCAGAUUUUUUUUUAAUCAUUGUUUUCUGUUAAAAGACCCAUUUAUCAGUUUUUUGUCACUGGUUAUCAGAUGUUUCUUUAAAAUGUGCUGGUAGUUCAAAGAACUCGAUGCGAUUUUCUUGAACUAGAAGCUUUGGGAGGGAACAGCUCCCCAGCAUCACAGACCCUCUGCCAAACUUACAGUGAGCAUGAGGUGUUUUUCCACAUAUUUAUUCUUUGUUUGAAACCAAACGAACCAAAAGUGUUCUUGACUAGCUCAAUCUGAACAAUCAUUUGUAAAUAGCAUUUAAUGGUUGCUAUGGAGACUUAGUGACUUAGAUGCCAUUCAAUGCUGCAGUUUCCUAACAAUGGUGUCAAGAUAAAAUUGCAUCUUCAUCCAUCCUUGUUUGUCAUAUUUGCUGUUGUUUUAAACAUGUUUUUUUACUAUUGGUCUGACUGUAGAUAUGGGCAGGUUUUAGGCAAGCAGUUAUUGUUCUUGUAGCCAUGUCCUAACUUAUAAAUAUCAACACACAUCUGCUUCAAUAAAAUGGUAUGUUCUCUU